UGUAGCGUGGUGUAAUGGUAACACAUCCAGAGUUCAAAAUACAUCGGAAUAGAGAAGAUGCAGGUUCAAAUCCCGCCGCUACUA